rnacentral:misc_RNA from 1 species
UAAAUGCGAUAAGUAAUGUGAAUUGCAGAAUUCAGUGAAUCAUCGAAUCUUUGAACGCACCUUGCGCUCCUUGGUAUUCCUUGGAGCAUGCCUGUUUGAGUAUCAUGAAAUCUUCAAAGUAAAUCUUUUGUUAACUCAAUUGGUUUCUACUUUGGUAUUGGAGGUCUUUGCAGCUUCACACCUGCUCCUCUUUGUUCAUUAGCUGGAUCUCAGUGUUAUGCUUGGUUCCACUCGGCGUGAUAAGUUAUCUAUCGCUGAGGACACUGUAAAAGGUGGCCAAGGUAAAUGCAGAUGAACCGCUUCUAAUAGUCCAUUGACUUGGACAAUACUUUUAUGAUCUGAUCUCAAAUCAGGUAGGACUACCCGCUGAACUUAAGC